UAGCUCUAGUUUUUCUUAAAUCAAGCAUAAGUCUUUUGCUUUUUAUUAAAGAUUUCUAUGGAGGGGAAUAUCAAUGAGCUUGAUAUAUUUUUAUGAGCUUUGCUCUAGCAAAGCU